UACGGGGGGGGCAAGCGUUGUUCGGAAUUACUGGGCGUAAAGGGUUCGUAGGCGGUCAACUAAGUCAGACGUGAAAUCCCUCGGCUUAACCGGGGAACUGCGUCUGAUACUGGAUGGCUUGAGAUUGGGAGAGGGAUGCGGAAUUCCAGGUGUAGCGGUGAAAUGCGUAGAUAUCUGGAGGACCACCGGUGGCGAAGGCGGCAUCCUGGACCAACACUGACGCUGAGGAGCGAAAGCCAGGGGAGCAAACGGG
rnacentral:rRNA from 1 species